rnacentral:rRNA from 1 species
AGUUUGAUCCUGGCUCAGGAUGAACGCUAGCUACAGGCUUAACACAUGCAAGUCGAGGGGAAACGAUAUUGGAAGCUUGCUUCCGAUAGGCGUCGACCGGGCCCGGGGGGUAUACAGGUUUCCCACCUUCCCCUCCUUUGGGAAACCCUUGGAAAAUAAACCCUACCCCCAAAACAUUUUUUAGAGGGCCUGGGAAUGAAAAAAAGUUUUUCGGGGAAAGAAGGGGAUCUUUUAAAUAACCUUGUGGCGGGGGAACGGGCCACACAAGGGGCAAAAUCGUGUGGGUUUUGGAAGGAAGUCCCCCCACAUUGGAAAUGAACCCGGGUCCAAAUUCCUUGGGGGGGCACCAGGGAGAAUUUUGGUCAAUGGGCGAGACCCUGACCCACCCAAAUUAGCGUCCAGGAUGCCGCCCCUAUGGGUUGUAAACUGCUUUUUAUAGGGGAAUAAAGUGACCCACGUGUGUUUUUUUGCAUGUCCCCUAUGAAUAAGGACCGGCUAAUUCCGUGCCAGCAGCCGCGGUAAUACGGAAGGUCCGGGCGUUAUCCGGAUUUAUUGGGUUUAAAGGGAGCGUAGGCCGGAGAUUAAGCGUGUUGUGAAAUGUAGAUGCUCAACAUCUGAACUGCAGCGCGAACUGGUUUCCUUGAGUACGCAUAAAGUGGGCGGAAUUCGUGGUGUAGCGGUGAAAUGCUUAGAUAUCACGAAGAACUCCGAUUGCGAAGGCAGCUCACUGGGGCGCAACUGACGCUGAAGCUCGAAAGCGCGGGUAUCGAACAGGAUUAGAUACCCUGGUAGUCCGCGCGGUAAACGAUGGAUGCCCGCUGUUGGGCCAACUGGUUCAGCGGCCAAGCGAAAGCAUUAAGCAUCCCACCUGGGGAGUACGCCGGCAACGGUGAAACUCAAAGGAAUUGACGGGGGCCCGCACAAGCGGAGGAACAUGUGGUUUAAUUCGAUGAUACGCGAGGAACCUUACCCGGGCUUGAAUUGCAGAGGAAGGAUUUGGAGACAAUGACGCCCUUCGGGGCCUCUGUGAAGGUGCUGCAUGGUUGUCGUCAGCUCGUGCCGUGAGGUGUCGGCUUAAGUGCCAUAACGAGCGCAACCCCUCUCCAUAGUUGCCAUCAGGUUAAGCUGGGCACUCUGUGGACACUGCCACCGUAAGGUGCGAGGAAGGUGGGGAUGACGUCAAAUCAGCACGGCCCUUACGUCCGGGGCUACACACGUGUUACAAUGGCAGGUACAGAGAGCCGGUCGUAUGCAAAUACGAUCCAAUCCUUAAAGCCUGUCUCAGUUCGGACUGGGGUCUGCAACCCGACCCCACGAAGCUGGAUUCGCUAGUAAUCGCGCAUCAGCCAUGGCGCGGUGAAUACGUUCCUGGGCCUUGCACACACCGCCCGUC